rnacentral:rRNA from 1 species
UGGGGAAAAUUGCACAAUGGACGAAAGUCUGAUGCAGCAACGCCGCGUGGAGGAUGACACAUUUCGGUGCGUAAACUCCUUUUAUAUGAGAAGAUAAUGACGGUAUUAUAUGAAUAAGCACCGGCUAACUCCGUGCCAGCAGCCGCGGUAAUACGGGGGGUGCAAGCGUUACUCGGAAUCACUGGGCGUAAAGAGCAUGUAGGCGGAUUAAUAAGUUUGAAGUGAAAUCCUAUAGCUUAACUAUAGAACUGCUUUGAAAACUGUUAAUCUAGAAUGUGGGAGAGGUAGAUGGAAUUUCUGGUGUAGGGGUAAAAUCCGUAGAGAUCAGAAGGAAUACCGAUUGCGAAGGCGAUCUACUGGAACAUUAUUGACGCUGAGAUGCGAAAGCGUGGGGAGCAAACAG